rnacentral:rRNA from 1 species
AAUGAACGCUGGCGGCGUGCCUAACACAUGCAAGUCGAGCGAGAAAGUCCUUUCGGGGACAAGUAUAGCGGCGAACGGGUGAGUAACACGUAAGAAUCUACCCUUUAGUGAAGAAUACCCUCGAGAAAUCGAGGUUAAUACUGCAUACGUCCCUUCGGGGAGAAAGAUGGCCUCUUUGCUAUCGCUAAGGGAGGAGCUUGCGGACUAUUAGCUAGUUGGCGGGGUAAAGGCCCACCAAGGCGAUGAUGGUUAGCCGGCCUGAGAGGGUGAUCGGCCACACUGGAACUUAGACACGGUCCAGACUCCUACGGGAGGCAGCAGUGGGGAAUAUUGGACAAUGGGGGGAACCCUGAUCCAGCCAUGCCGCGUGUGUGAAGAAGGCCUUAUGGUUGUAAAGCACUAUAAGCGAGGAGGAGGCUCUUUUGGUUAAUACCCAAGAUGAGUGGACGUUACUCGCAGAAUAAGCACCGGCUAACUCUGUGCCAGCAGCCGCGGUAA